GGGGGAAUCUUAGACAAUGGGCGCAAGCCUGAUCUAGCGAUGCCGCGUGAGUGACGAAGGCCUUAGGGUCGUAAAGCUCUUUCGCCAGGGAUGAUAAUGACAGUACCUGGUAAAGAAACCCCGGCUAACUCCGUG
rnacentral:rRNA from 1 species